UGGGGAAUUUUGGACAAUGGGCGAAAGCCUGAUCCAGCAAUGCCGCGUGUGUGAAGAAGGCCUUCGGGUUGUAAAGCACUUUUGUCCGGAAAGAAAUCCUUGGCUCUAAUACAGUCGGGGGAUGACGGUACCGGAAGAAUAAGCACCGGCUAACUACGUGCCAGCAGCCGCGGUAAUACGUAGGGUGCAAGCGUUAAUCGGAAUUACUGGGCGUAAAGCGUGCGCAGGCGGUUUGCUAAGACCGAUGUGAAAUCCCCGGGCUCAACCUGGGAACUGCAUUGGUGACUGGCAGGCUAGAGUAUGGCAGAGGGGGGUAGAAUUCCACGUGUAGCAGUGAAAUGCGUAGAGAUGUGGAGGAAUACCGAUGGCGAAGGCAGCCCCCUGGGCCAAUACUGACGCUCAUGCACGAAAGCGUGGGGAGCAAACAGGAUUAGAUACCCUGGUAGUCCACGCCCUAAACGAUGUCAACUAGUUGUGGGAUUCAUUCUUAGUAACGUAGCUAACGCGUGAAGUUGACCGCCUGGGGAGUACGUCGCAAGAUU
rnacentral:rRNA from 1 species